GCCGGGCGCAGUGGUGCAUGCCUGUAGUCCCAGCUACUCAGGAGGCUGAGGCGGGAGGACCACUUGAGUCCAAGAGUUCUGGGCUGUAGUGCGCUAUGCUGAUCAGGUGUCUGCACUAAGUUUGGCAUCAAUAUGGUGACCUCCCAGGAGUGGGGGACCACCAAGUUGCCUAAAGAGGGGUGAACUGGCCCAGGUCAGAAACAGAGCUGGUCAAAAUUCCCGUGCUGAUCGGUAGUGGGAUCGGGCCUGUGAAUAGCCACAGCACUCCAGCCUGGGCAACAUAGGGAGACACCAUCUCU
rnacentral:SRP_RNA from 1 species